rnacentral:rRNA from 1 species
GACGAACGCUGGCGGCGUGCUUAACACAUGCAAGUCGAACGGAAAGGCCCUGCUUUUGUGGGGUGCUCGAGUGGCGAACGGGUGAGUAACACGUGAGUAACCUGCCCUUGACUUUGGGAUAACUUCAGGAAACUGGGGCUAAUACCGGAUAGGAGCUCCUGCUGCAUGGUGGGGGUUGGAAAGUUUCGGCGGUUGGGGAUGGACUCGCGGCUUAUCAGCUUGUUGGUGGGGUAGUGGCUUACCAAGGCUUUGACGGGUAGCCGGCCUGAGAGGGUGACCGGCCACAAUGGGACUGAGGUACGGCCCAGAAGACUACGGGAGGCAGCAGGGGGGAAUAUUGCACAAUGGGCGGAAGCCUGAUGCAGCAACGCCGCGUGCGGGAAGACGGCCUUAGGGUUGUAAACCGCUUUCGACGGUGACGAAGAGGGAGUGACGGUAAUGGGUAAAGAAGCAACGGCUAACUACGUG